UGGCGACCGGGCUUACACCCGAGGUCCCUCUCUGGGGUGGCUCUUUGCUAAGUGCUGCUGUUGCUUCCCGUGCAGAGUGUUGAAGACUUGACUCGACAAUAUGCGGCACAUUGUACUCAACGGCCUCUGAGAUCUUUUCCAGUUCCCAUUCUGCAAAGAGGUUUAAAAACAAAGACAAGCCUAUUUCUGUCCUUGGAUUCUGUGUGAAAGCAGGAGAAGACCUCAAUAACCUUUUGAGAGUGCCCAGACUUGCAGUUGAGAGGAGAACCAGAUCACAAAGCUUCUGGAGCCCCGGUUCUAGCACUCUCUGCAAGUGUCCAGAGGACAGCAGGGCCAGCUCUUCUGGAGGAGUGAGGAAGACGUGUACAGGGGAGGCCUUGUGAAGAGGUGACAUGGAGUCUUGAAGAGUCAGGAGGGAUAUUCUUCAUCUAAGACGUCCUAAGAUGUCAGGCAGAGGAAAUGGCAUGAGGAAGGACAGAGUCCUGCAUGGGAAUGGAGUGUCUGGAAAUGAAGAACAGACAGCAGUUUAUCAUCUGGUACUAUAGUAUCUCCUUUGGUCUCCAGCUCUGAGGGGUCAGCCUAUACAUUUCACAGAUGAGCAGACUGAGGCUCAGAGACAUGAAAUGAUUUCCCCGAGAG